GGAUUUAAUCUGCAGCUUGUACAGCUGGUGGGAAGGUUUUGGACCAUCUUAAGAAAUGGUACUCCUGUCUGCUCUCAACUGGUGUUCUGCAAGCAUUUCUGUGUUCCCAAUGUAUCCAUGGAGAGAGAUGUACUCCACGUCCACCUACUCCUCCACCAUCUUGUUCUCCCCCCGUGAUUCUGAUUUUUAAAAACCACUUUUGAGAUGAGAUAUACUCAGCACAUUCUAGACAGAGUAAAAGGAGAUGAAAAUUGAGAGAGAGGGUGGGUAGGGGAAAGGUAGAGGAGGGGAGACAGUAAACCAAAUAAUAACUACUGUGCAACAUACAAGACAGUGGUUUGGUUACUUUCCCAAUGUGUUCACCAUUUUCCAAAUUCUACUGUAAUAUCAGGAAGACUCAAGUGCAAAUGGAUUUUCUUUGGAUACCACUCCAUUGUACUAUCUACUUUUUUUAGAUUUUUUAAAAAAUUAUUUUUAAAUGAAUUUUAACUUCAAUAAAUUGAAAUUUAUUUUUAACAUUU